rnacentral:ncRNA from 1 species
CGAAGUAGAGAUUCAUGCGUCAAGUGUUCGGUGGCUGGGGAGUUGCCCCGAAACGAAAAGAACCUUUGUUCUUACGAUAUGAUCUCGCACCCGUUG